AGGUUACGUACUAAAAUGUAAAACAGUCAUGGUACAAAUUUUAACUCGAUAGAAUUUCUAGAGGUCAACAAUGUAUUUUCAGAAGAGUGCUUCCACUGCACGCGGCUGUAGAACGGCAAAAAGUUGCAAUCAGAGUUAUAUGAAUGGAAUUGUAUAUAGCUUCGAUUGUCAACUGUCACCAAUAAAGUUGCAACCCUUGAACGUGCGCAUCUCUGUUGCGAUGUUUUAACCAUAAACUGCCUAAAGCAAACAAGACAAAACUCGCAACAAUGUUCCUACUGUUGGCAAAUACAUUUGGAAGCCGGCCAUGCGGAUACGCAGUUCAAAUAGAAAUUAAUUAUGCGAAAAACUUUUCAACUACAAAGCUUUUACAAAAGAGGGCGCUUGUUGGAAAAGGACUUGCCAUUUUUGGCAGAAUAAAGAUUUGAAGCAGUAAGAUAUGAAAGGAGGCAAAUGGUACUCAGCUAACACCAAUGAAGAAGAAUGACUCUCUAUCAUCAAAUUAUAUUAUCAAUACGUUGACAGUGUACAUUUUGUGAAUAAUUGUAUAUGUAUCAUCGAACAUUCGAUUCUCUUUAUCCGCGUAUGUACAUAUGUACAUCGAAAUAUAACAUAUAAUAUAUACAUCACAUUCAUAUCGUUACAACCGUAACAAUUUACAAAUAUAUUUACAAAAUGAAAAAAUCACAGAAGAUCACGAGGAGAUUCUUAUCGGUAGAAAAAAUAUAAUCAGCAUACACGGUAUGCAGAAUCGGCUUUUCCUGUCGUUAACAUAUAAAAAACUUAUCGACGGUCUAUUAUAAAAUAAUCAAACAAUACACCCUACUUCGCGGGAAGAUUAUCGUCCGGGAUAAUCGAGUCUGACUUAUUAAUAGAAUAUCAGAUCGAUUGGUUCUACGCAACGUACCGGAAGUUCUAAAACGCCACAUUGAAAAACUAUCAAGAGUAUGUAUCUUCCUUUUUUCCUGUCGCGUAUCCGCCUGUCGAUGCACUCUAUACAAUCUUUCUUUUUUAGUUUUAUUGAAUUAAAGGUUCAGGAACUCUUUUAAAAAUUCUGUGAAUUUUUCAUCUAGAUAAAAAGAUAUGUAAAUAAUAAUUAUAAAGGAGAAUUUAAAUCCUUGUCAUUUUUUUAGUUGUAUUAUAUAACAAAUUCAUAGGUCUAAAAUAUAGAGACAUCAGGAAUAAUUAGAAUAAAUAAAAAGUUUGUACAUUCAACCUUUGAGUAUGGAGAUGUACAGAGUGUCUCACAAGUGUGGGUCCUUGAAAUGAGAGGUAGCUAAAGCGAUUCUAAAUAAGAUUUCUUUUUGCAGAAAUGGGGUUUGGAGAGCACAAGGAUUAUUACGCGUUGGACUACUACGCGUCGAAUAUCC
rnacentral:lncRNA from 1 species